GACGAACGCUGGCGGCGUGCUUAACACAUGCAAGUCGAACGGAAAGGCCCUGCUUUUGUGGGGUGCUCGAGUGGCGAACGUGUGAGUAACACGUGAGUCACCUUCCCUUGACUUUGGGAUAACUUCAGGCAACUGGGGCUAAUACCUGCUAGGAGCUCCUGCUGCAUGGUGGGGGUUGGAAAGUUUCGGCGGUUGGGGAUGGACUCGCGGCUUAUCAGCUUGUUGGUGGGGUAGUGGCUUACCAAGGCUUUGACGGGUAGCCGGCCUGGGAGGGUGAACGGGCACAUUGGGACUGAGAUACGGCCCAGACUCGUACGGGAGGCAGCAGGGGGGAAUAUUGCACAAUGGGCGGAAGCCUGAUGCAGCAACGCCGCGUGCGGGAUGAAGGCCUUCGGGUUGUAAACCGCUUUCGCCUGUGACGAAGCGGGAGUGACGGUAAUGGGUAAAGAAGCACCGGCUAACUACGUG
rnacentral:rRNA from 1 species